rnacentral:misc_RNA from 1 species
AAGUCGUAACAAGGUUUCCGUAGGUGAACCUGCGGAAGGAUCAUUAACACGUAUCCAAACGUUAAAACCCCCCCCGUGAACCUUCAUCCUGCUCUUGUAACCCGCGUAGUUCGCAAUCUCUGAUAAAUCAUAGCCCGGAAAGUUGUAGUGAUUCAGAGACCUCUGGCUACGUGCGAACAUUGGAACAGUUACAAUCGAGCGGUAGUUCUAUAGGCAAUGUUUCUCCAAGCAGUCAGUGUCGGAAAGUGUCAUUGAUUGUGCAAGGAUAGCGCUUCUACGAUUCCCCCUAAUAACCCCACAGUUUAAUGUGAAGCUCAAUGUAAUACAUUGGGUCAAAAAACCGAACAACUGUUAACAAUGGAUAUCUUGGUUCUC